rnacentral:sRNA from 25 species
GUCAGUAACUCAACCCUAAAGGGAUUGAGCUUGUAAGAGAAAUCAAACAAGCUGUACUGACCAGACCACCCUGAGCGAUGUCGAAGGGUAGCCGUUAUUUGAGUCACGACACCUUGGAAUGCGUUCGCGCCAGCGUGCCGUCAGGCAUAGCUAGUUCCCCGCUCUGUC